rnacentral:rRNA from 1 species
AGUGAACGCUGGCGGUAGGCCUAACACAUGCAAGUCGAACGGCAGCACAGUAAGAGCUUGCUCUUACGGGUGGCGAGUGGCGGACGGGUGAGGAAUACAUCGGAAUCUACUUUUUCGUGGGGGAUAACGUAGGGAAACUUACGCUAAUACCGCAUACGACCUACGGGUGAAAGCAGGGGAUCUUCGGACCUUGCGCGAUUGAAUGAGCCGAUGUCGGAUUAGCUAGUUGGCGGGGUAAAGGCCCACCAAGGCGACGAUCCGUAGCUGGUCUGAGAGGAUGAUCAGCCACACUGGAACUGAGACACGGUCCAGACUCCUACGGGAGGCAGCAGUGGGGAAUAUUGGACAAUGGGCGCAAGCCUGAUCCAGCCAUACCGCGUGGGUGAAGAAGGCCUUCGGGUUGUAAAGCCCUUUUGUUGGGAAAGAAAAGCAGCAGGUUAAUAUCCCGCUGUUCUGACGGUACCCAAAGAAUAAGCACCGGCUAACUUCGU